GACGAACGCUGGCGGCGUGCUUAACACAUGCAAGUCGAACGGAAAGGCCCUGCUUGCAGGGUACUCGAGUGGCGAACGGGUGAGUAACACGUGGGUGAUCUGCCCUGCACUUCGGGAUAAGCCUGGGAAACUGGGUCUAAUACCGGAUAGGAGCCAUUUUUAGUGUGAUGGUUGGAAAGUUUUUUCGGUGUAGGAUGAGCUCGCGGCCUGUCAGCUUGUUGGUGGGGUAAUGGCCUACCAAGGCGGCGACGGGUAGCCGGCCUGAGAGGGUGGACGGCCACAUUGGGACUGAGAUACGGCCCAGACUCCUACGGGAGGCAGCAGUGGGGAAUAUUGCACAAUGGGCGCAAGCCUGAUGCAGCGACGCCGCGUGGGGGAUGACGGCCUUCGGGUUGUAAACUCCUUUCGCUAGGGACGAAGCUUUUUGUGACGGUACCUAGAGAAGAAGCACCGGCUAACUACGUG
rnacentral:rRNA from 1 species